UGCUUGCUUUGGCAGCAAUACACUAAAAUUCGAAUUAUACAAAGAAGAUUAACAUGGCCCCUGCCCACAGAUGAAACAAAAUUGAUGAAAUAGUACAUAUUUUA
ensembl:snRNA U6 U6 spliceosomal RNA